rnacentral:rRNA from 1 species
UGAGUAACACGUAUCCAACCUGCCGUCUACUCUUGGACAGCCUUCUGAAAGGAAGAUUAAUACAAGAUGGCAUCAUGAGUCCGCAUGUUCACAUGAUUAAAGGUAUUCCGGCAGACGAUGGGGAUGCGUUCCAUUAGAUAGUAGGCGGGGUAACGGCCCACCUAGUCUUCGAUGGAUAGGGGUUCUGAGAGGAAGGUCCCCCACAUUGGAACUGAGACACGGUCCAA